rnacentral:rRNA from 1 species
UACGAAGGGGGCGAGCGUUGUUCGGAAUUACUGGGCGUAAAGGGCGCGCAGGCGGCUCUGAAAGUUAGAUGUGAAAGCCCCGGGCUUAACCUGGGAAUUGCAUUUGAUACUCUGGAGCUUGAGUACGGGAGAGGAGAGUGGAAUUCCCAGUGUAGAGGUGAAAUUCGUAGAUAUUGGGAAGAACACCGGUGGCGAAGGCGGCUCUCUGGACCGUAACUGACGCUGAGGCGCGAAAGCGUGGGGAGCAAACAGG